rnacentral:rRNA from 1 species
GAUGAACGCUGGCGGCGUGCCUAAUACAUGCAAGUCGAGCGAAUGGAUUAAGAGCUUGCUCUUAUGAAGUUAGCGGCGGACGGGUGAGUAACACGUGGGUAACCUGCCCAUAAGACUGGGAUAACUCCGGGAAACCGGGGCUAAUACCGGAUAACAUUUUGAACCGCAUGGUUCGAAAUUGAAAGGCGGCUUCGGCUGUCACUUAUGGAUGGACCCGGGUCGCAUUAGCUAGUUGGUGCGGUAACGGCUCACCAAGGCAACGAUGCGUAGCCGACCUGAGAGGGUGAUCGGCCACACUGGGACUGAGACACGGCCCAGACUCCUACGGGAGGCAGCAGUGGGGAAUCUUCCGCAAUGGAUGAAAGUCUGACGGAGCAACGCCGCGUGAGUGAUGAAGGCUUUCGGGUCGUAAAACUCUGUUGUUAGGGAAGAACAAGUGCUAGUUGAAUAAGCUGGCACCUUGACGGUACCUAACCAGAAAGCCACGGCUAACUACGUGCCAGCCGCCGCCAUAA